CCUACGGGAGGCAGCAGUGAGGAAUAUUGGUCAAUGGACGCAAGUCUGAACCAGCCAUGCAGCGUGCGGGAAGACGGCUCUAUGAGUUGUAAACUGCUUUUGUACGAGGGUAAACGCAGAUACGCGUAUCUGUCUGCAAGUAUCGUACGAAUAAGGAUCGGCUAACUCCGUGCCAGCAGCCGCGGUAAUACGGAGGAUUCAAGCGUUAUCCGGAUUUAUUGGGUUUAAAGGGUGCGUAGGCGGGCGGAUAAGUUAGCGGUGAAAUCCCGAGGCUCAACUUCGGAAUUGCAUCUGAUACUGGUCGGCUAGAGAGUAGUAGCGGUAGGCGGAAUGUGUGGUGUAGCGGUGAAAUGCUUAGAGAUCAUAAAGAACACCGAUUGCGAAGGCAGCUUACCAAGCUACUUCUGACGUUGAGGCACGAAAGCGUGGGGAGCAAACAGGAUUAGAUACCCCUGUAGUC
rnacentral:rRNA from 1 species